CUUGGGGAGAGAGAGAGAGAGCUGCGCUGCGUACCUCGCCUGCUUAUCUCCUGCAAGGGGAUGGUGUCCCCUCCCCCGUCGUAGGCAGCUGACCACUGAAGACCAAUGACAUCACCCACAUUAAGGAGAGCUGGUUGCUAUGGGCGACUGCCGGGCCAGACCAUUCAGUCCUGAUCUGUGGGGGGAGUGCGAAGGGCAGCUCUAGAGCAGAGUAGUUCAUUUCAUCAGCAGUAGGGGUGCCCAGGCAUAUGGAUUAAAGGCUCUGGUCAGGCCAGGGUUUCCCAAAAGACAGUCUUGGAGGCCUUUCACCUGCACUGCGUGAUUAGCUGCUUUUCUCCUGUGAAUGUUCUGCUCAAGAAAUAGCUGAAAAUACGUGUUAUGAUAUUGACAGAUAAGCAUAUUGUGAUUAUUGUUAAAUACUAAUGUAUUUGCACAGUGUGUGUAUGUGUAACCAUGCUUAGAAAAAGGCAAUGAUGUGAAGAGUUGCACCCAGAAGGUGCAAAGUGUCAGAUUGCAAUGUUAUUUAGAAUGAAGAUAAGGAGUACUGACAACAAUAAAUGAUUAAUUCUAAUAUAUGUAGACUAAUAUAGGCACCUCUUGGUUGUUUACAGCUCUGGAAAUAAAUAAGAGCCCACUUAAUAAUGAGGAGUUUCUUUGAUUUUACCAAACUGAAAACCUUUAGAAUAUAAUCAAGAGAAAGAUGGAUGAUCACAAGCAAUCAAAUCAAGCUGAACUAACCAAUUUCUUGUAUUAGGAGUGGCAUACAGUUUUCCAAAAGCAGUGUGUAAGACUGGUGGAGGAGAACAUGCCAAGAUGCAUGAAAACUGUAAUUAAAAAACAGGGUUAUUCCACCAAAU